UCUAAACCGCAACCGCUACAAAUUUUAUAGUUCUUUUGAUUUUAUAAAUCAUAGAUGCUCAAAGAUUUAUAAAUCUCAUUGUCGAUUAUUUGUGUCUACACGAUUCAUUGUGUCAAGCCUCCACUAAACCCAGAAAACCCAAGGUUCUCAAAUGAAAAAGGGGAUAUCAAUGGGAAAGGUUGCCUGAGAUAGGUGGUUGUGGUUGCCAUGGUUUUUGGUAUUCUUCUUUCUCCCAUUACUUCAGCUCUCUUCACCUUCAUCUUUAUUUGCUUGAGAAAUGUUCCGAUUGCUUUCAAGGAUCAAUUACUCAAAGCGACUACUUACAGGAGGACCAACUGCUGAAGCACGAGGAAUUUUAAAUUUAAGCAUUCAGUACUGGACUAGUCGGGGUUGGGCUUUUGUUGAUGUUAAUUAUGGUGGAAGCACUGGUUGGUGAUAUUGUUAUUCUUGACAUCUCAGCAACAACCACUGAUCAAGAUGAAUCAAAUGUUCAAAUUGUUCCUUCUGCUGAAAGCAAAGGUCUGGUGGUGUGCUUGAAGGAUGAUAAUGAACGGAUAUCUCUUUUGUGAACCUGUUGUGAAGUGAAUAAGCACAGUUUUUCCCACAAUGAGUUCUAGUUGGCUUUUCUUUCCCAACCAAAGAAAUUUAUAAUCUGUAAUUUAGUGUACUCAUUAUUUUGAGUUCAUAGGUCAGCAAGAUAUUUGUCUAAGAGUCACACUCCAACAGCGAGAUCCAUCUUAGCACAGAAAAUGGCAUCUACUACUGCUUUAGAUUCAAUACAAGAGAGCUUGCUUGGUUCAGCCAUUGCAACACAAUCUGCACCAGCUUCAAGGAUGAAGAGUACUCUUUGUUUGGUUUCAACAUUAACUUUUCUUGGUACUAUCAACCUGCUUCAACCAUUGACUAAAAAUAUUAACCAUAUGGACUCAAACCCACGACAACAAUUUGUGAUUCAUGUUGGGCGAAAGCUUUUUCAGCUAAUGCAAAUCACAACUUUGAUUACCAUAUUAGAAAUUAAUCAUCCUGUUUUGAUAUCCUGCUAACUGUUUGUAAUAUAGUUUGUGUAUAUCCUAUAAGAGUAUGAAUAACCUGAAUAACAAAUAAAAUUCAUUUAUUUUUAUUUGUGAUUUGAAACCUUUUAUCUGAUGUUGUUAGAUGUGUCAAGAAUUACUCUUAUAUCUGAAUGUCUACAUCUCUGCUUGUGAGAUUUCAUGAAAAAACUCCUAUAGAGUUUUUUCAUGAGAAAGUUUUUUCGCCAGGUACAUGAACUAUAAAAUCAUAUGUUAUUGUACAUAUCUGAAGCGUUGUAAGAGUUUAGCAUCUAAGAGGCCAUAGAGCAUAUUGUAUCUUCUAAAGAGGGCACAAAGUCACAAUUGGAUGAACAAAAUAAACGAAAUGAAGAACGCGACAAAAGACUUGAUGCAAUCAUGAAUUUCUUUUCUCAAAAUUAUCAAGGUCAAUUGCCUUCUGAGUUGACUAUGUUCAAUUCUGCACCGGUUUCUGAUCAAGGAAGUGUGCCAACUAAUACAACAAGUUCUGGACAUGAAGAAAAUCAUAUGUGAUAGUUGAAGAAUAUAAUAUAAUGUGGAAGUUAAUUGAAUCAUUUUAUGUUUUAAGAACCAUUGCAGUACUUCAUGAUAGUUUUUGCUGACUAAUAUUGUACUUGAAUUUGAAUUCGUAUAUUUGUUAUACUUUGAUAUA